AACGAACGCUGGCGGCAUGCCUAACACAUGCAAGUCUAACGAGACCUUCGGGUCUAGUGGGGCCCGGGUGCGUAACGCGUGGGAACCUGCCCUUAGGUUCGGAAUAACUCCCCGAAAGGGGUGCUGAUACCGGAUAAUGUCUUCGGAACAAAGAUUUAUCGCCAUUGGUUGGGCCCGCGUUGGAUUAGCUAGUUGGUAGGGUAACAGCCUAACAAGGCGCCGAUCCAUAGCUGGUCUCAGAAGCUGAUCAGCCACGCUGGGACUGAGGCACGGCCCAGAUGCCUACGAGCGGCAGCAGUGGUGAAUAUUGGAGAAUGGGCUAAGGCCUGAUCCAGCAAUGCCGCGUGAGUGAUGAAGGCAUGACGGUUGUAAAGCCCUUUUACCCGGGAUGAUAAUGAGAGUACCGGGAGAAUAAGCCCCGGCUAACUCCGUG
rnacentral:rRNA from 1 species